CGACGUUCUCAGGGCGGGGUGAAAAUCCCCACCGGCGGUAACGACAGUCCUGAGCUUUCAGGGACUGUCUCAGCCCGCGAGCGCCUGGCCGGACGAAAGAGCCGGCAGGGUCAGCAGAUUCGGUGAAAUUCCGAAGCCGACGGUCAUAGUCCGGAUGGAAGAGAGCGGGA
rnacentral:ncRNA from 2 species